GGUCCAAGUACCCCCUAGAGGUUUUCCAUUGGCCACUUCCUGCUCACCUCAUGUAAAUGAAGUGGUAGCUCUCAAUCGGUCUGAUUGGUUGUGGAAAGCAACCAAUCAAAGACUGAAGUGGAGGGUACAACGCUCACUCUCCUCUUUUUGCAACCAAUCAGAGGCUAAGGUAAAGUUAGAAAGUUGCAAACGAAGACCGGCCGGCAAACAGUCUGAUUGGUUUCAGGCAGCCAGUUUCCCAACUGCCCAGCAGAAAAGAUGGAGUCUUGCUCGGUCGCCCAGGCUGGAGUGCAGUGGCAUGAUCUCGGCUCAUUGCAACCUCCGCCUCCCGGAUUCAAGCAAUUCUCCUGCCUCAGCCUCCUGAGUAGCUGGGAUUACAGGCACCUGCCACCACGCCUGGCUAAUUUUUUUUUUGUAUUUUUAGUACAGAUAGGUUUUCACCAUAUUGGCCAGGCUGGUUUCGAACUCCUGACCUUGUGAUCCAUCCACCUCAGCCUCCCGAAGUGCCCCAGCUCACACAGGCAUGAGCCACCGCACCUGGCCCUGAGUUUUGUAUAUUGAGUUUGUAACCUGUAACCUUGCUGAACUUUAUUUAGCUCUAAUAAAUUUUCUGACGUGGAUUCCCU
rnacentral:lncRNA from 1 species